GACGAACGCUGGCGGCGUGCUUAACACAUGCAAGUCGAACGGAAAGGCCCUGCUUUUGUGGGGUGCUCGAGUGGCGAACGGGUGAGUAACACGUGAGUAACCUGCCCUUGACUUUGGGAUAACUUCAGGAAACUGGGGCUAAUACCGGAUAGGAGCUCCUGCUGCAUGGUGGGGGUUGGAAAGUUUCGGCGGUUGGGGAUGGACUCGCGGCUUAUCAGCUUGUUGGUGGGGUAGUGGCUUACCAAGGCUUUGACGGGUAGCCGGCCUGAGAGGGUGACCGGCCACAUUGGGACUGAGAUACGGCCCAGACUCCUACGGGAGGCAGCAGUGGGGAAUAUUGCAAAAUGGGCGGAAGCCGGAUGCAGCAACGCCGCGUGCGGGAUGACGGCCUUCGGGUUGUAAACCGCUUUCGCCUGUGACGAAGCGUGAGUGACGGUAAUGGGUAAAGAAGCACCGGCUAACUACGUG
rnacentral:rRNA from 1 species